AUGACGCCGGCCCUGCUAAUGGAUGUGACACUGCUGUUGCCGGUGAUCAUGCGGUGGAUUCUCCUGUGCUUCCUUCUGCUGUUUCGGCCCGUCGUCGUCGAGAGAUCAGGAUGGGCAAGCGUCCUGUCAUGCCAGAAGGCGAAUCCGAUACCAGCUUGCCCAUGCCCAUGUCUUCUUCUUCCCCUUUUCGUCCUAUGGCGUCGAGCUGUGCUACACCUCCUCCCGUUGGCUCUUUUUCCAUCCUUUCUU